UUAACAAUCCAACGACAAUUUGCAAUCAGAUUUCGUUCCGAAUCAGUUUCCCUGAAAUCCUGUUCCUGUUCCACUCAUUAAUCAUCUAACGUAUCCCUCAAAACUUGGAGCUUAGAGAUCGGUGAAAAGAUGAAGUUGGCAUCGAGUCCGUGGUCUUUCGAUGUUACUUCGAGCAGUGGUAACAAUUUUGAAAGAGGAGUUAAUGCGAGAAGUUCCGGCAGGGAACGCAAUUAUCCGCCACUGCUCGAGUGCCGUAACUCGACAGACUUUCAACGUGUUCAACGGAAAUUGUAUUUUCUUCUUCUUCUUUCUCGUUCAACCGUGCCACUUUGUCCAAUAGAAGGGAGGGGGGGGGGGCCUCUUGCCUCGAGAGAUCGAAUCGAUAACCGAUAAUUCUUGGUGAAACUUUGCAGGGAACAUCGUAUGUACGACUUGUUUCAUCUUAUGUUUUAACAAAUUUCGCGUAGAAUUAAAACUAAAUAGAAAUCUAAGGCUUUACUUUGUGCGAAGAAAAAGAUAGAGAAAGGAGAAAAAUUAAACAAAGGUAAAUAUCAUGGAAAGGCAUACAAGGAUCUCUUUCGUGUUCAACGAGUGCCCGGUUGAAGAGUGCUACGUUAAGGAAAGUUUUAAAAGCACGCCUUUAAUUCCAUUCAAUGCUAUCGCUCGCCGUGGAAUGAACAUUGAAAACACAGCCACUGUGAAACUAAUGAAAUUGAUUUGCACCGUUCCUUCCCGAGAAUCGACUUGGUAAAGAGUUCAAGCUCUCGAAGACACUGUUUCUUUUAAUCUUAUUUAUUGUACUUGAAACAGAGCUGCCACUUACCACGGAUCAAAAAAAAAAAAAAAAAAAAAAA